rnacentral:lncRNA from 1 species
CCAAACUCAGCCGAAUCAACCCUAGCCCCCUUCCUUCUCAUUUGGAAAACCCUAAAUCCCUUCUUUCAAACACUGAUUUACCUCCAUAAGCGACAACCAGUGCACUCAAGCUUUGGAAGGAUGGCUUUUCAGCCUUGAGAUCCCUUUUCGACUUCGAUUUCAACGAAGCAAAAAGAAACACAUGGCAUAUUCACAAGGUAAGACUUUCUCUUUUCUGUUUUUGAAUGCAAUAAUGAAAGUCCCAAAGGAAAAAAACUGAAAGAAAAUUCAAAAAUUUCAAGAAACUUGAACUAGAAUUCACCUUUAAAUUUUGGUCGCGUUUUUUUGUAUUUCAGUAUGCGUAAAAAAAAUUACAAUGAAAAAGUUCUUGGCUUUAUAGUCGAAAUUCGAAAAUAAAAAUACAAAUUUUAUUUUCCUUCAUAUUUGCUGUUGUUCUCUUGUCUGUUUACAAGUACGUGGUGUGCAUGGCGUGUGUACGGAGCAUAUGGAGGCCGUACGGUGGUGGUACUAGAAGCUGUGAGUUGCGGUGCGAAAGCUAUAGCUAGGGUUUCUGAAAUUUUAGCAUUUUGGGCCUCUGAGUCUAGGGUUUUAGCUAGGUAUUGGGCCUUGGGUUAGGAUUUGGGUUAUGUUUUUGUAAUUGGGCCCCUGUAGUUUUGUAAUGGACUUGGACUGCUGAUUUGGAUUUAAUUUUAUUAUAAUUUGUUUUUUGGUUCUUGUUUUGUAUCUGUAUGGGCCCGGGCAGAUUUGGGCCUGUACAGUAAUACUUUCAUUUUUUCUUGCACUCUUAGUAAUUUUAUUUAGGUUAAUUAGAUACUUUAUUCACAUUUAAUUAUUUCUUUCACCAACUUGCUAUUUGAUAAUUUCACAAACAUAGCCUUACAUAUACAUUUCCUGUGGAGAUGAUACUCUUUACUCAAAACUUUGUUACUUGUUGACGACUGUGUAUCCUUGCAUACCAUUUGAAUAUC